CCAUCUCUAUUGCUCUGGCGUGGGAGGAGACCUAUGGCACUUACAGGACGCGCUUGCUGUCAGGGCUUGGUGACCCUCUGGCCCCAUGAGGUUUCGGCUUUUUCCCAUCACAAAGCGGGGACGUUUUGAGGGAAACUCCCCGUGAGGGCACUGUGAUUCACCCUGAGAGCAAGCGUUUUCCACCCAGUGUCCAGGACGUCACCACGCUAAAUGUUUCCCAGAGUUCCCCAGUGAGACUGAGCUACAGCUGCCCACGGUGGUGACCCGCUGGACACUACAUAUAGAAAGCAGAAACCCAGUACAAGAUAAAAGCAGGUGGAAUCCCCAGAUGAUGGCGAAGGAGGACUCCGGGAAGACAGCUAUGCACCAGAUGGGCUAAUCAGUCAAGAUUCCAAUAUGUCUGAAGGGUCCAGCGAGAUUUCUUCAAAAAGGUAGCACUUUACAGCUUCUCUUUGGAAUAUUCGAACUGUCAACAUCAUUACUCUUGAGAAUCAAUAGCCAGAUGAAGAGAUACGUAAGAGCGAGGUCCCAAACCAAGGGGCUGUGUCCUCAUAGAGCUUGGGCCUGGUACAGUGGCACGUGGAAGCAGUUAGUCCCUCAACGUGGAAGCUCUCCAAAAAUGGCCCCACCUCAGGACCUUUGUAUAUACUGAUCCUUCAUCUACCUUCUUCUAGAUAUUUAUAUUGCUGCCUCCUGGUCAUUAUUUCUAUCCCGUCACAAAUGUCGCUUCCUCAGAGGGGCCGUCAGGAACCACCACUCUGCACACUUGUCCCAACCAGUUACUAGCUCUUCCAACAUUUUCCUUUCUUGUCCUCAUGGUACGUGUCACCAUGUGAAAGUGUCCCGUUUUUUUCCCCUCUUUUAAAAAUGUUUUAAAAAUUAUUACCGACAUGUAAUUCAUUUAACAAACUGCAUUGUUUAAAAGUGUGCAAUUCAGUGGCUUUUAGUAUAUUUAUUAUGUUGUCCAACCAUCACCACUAUUUGAGUUCCAAACAUUUCCAUCACCCCAACCAGAACCGCCGUAUCUGUUGACAGUCAUUCUCUCCUCCCCCAUGCCCUGGCAAUCCCUAAUCUACCUUUUGUCUCUGUGGAUUUGUCUAUUCUGAACAUUUCAUAUAAAAGGAAUUAUAUAUGUACCA